rnacentral:rRNA from 1 species
UACGUAGGGGGCUAGCGUUGUCCGGAUUUAUUGGGCGUAAAGAGCGCGUAGGCGGCCGAGUAAGUCCGACGUGAAAUCUGGAGGCUCAACCUCCAGCGGUCGUUGGAAACUACUCGGCUAGAGUCCGGAAGAGGAGAGUGGAAUUCCUGGUGUAGCGGUGAAAUGCGCAGAUAUCAGGAGGAACACCGGUGGCGAAGGCGGAUCUCUGGGCCGGUACUGACGCUGAGACGCGAAAGCGUGGGGAGCGAACAGG